AAUCUUCCACAAUGGACGAAAGUCUGAUGGAGCAACGCCGCGUGAGCGAAGAAGGUUUUCGGAUCGUAAAGCUCUGUCGCGGGGGAAAAACAAGUACGGGAGUAAACGCCCGGACCUUGACGGUACCCCGUCAGAAAGCCCCGGCUAACUACGUGCCAGCAGCCGCGGUAAUACGUAGGGGGCCAGCGUUGUCCGGAAUUAUUGGGCGUAAAGCGCGCGCAGGCGGUUCUUUAAGUCGGAUGUGAAAGCCCACGGCUCAACCGUGGAGGGUCAUUGGAAACUGGAGGACUUGAGUACAGAAGAGGAAAGCGGAAUUCCACGUGUAGCGGUGAAAUGCGUAGAGAUGUGGAGGAACACCAGUGGCGAAGGCGGCUUUCUGGUCUGUAACUGACGCUGAGGCGCGAAAGCGUGGGGAGCAAACA
rnacentral:rRNA from 1 species